UACAGUGUGUCCCAAAAAAGUACCCUCUAUAAAAAGUAUCUAUCCUAUUGUUAUAAGGGUACUUUUUUGGGGACACACUGUA
rnacentral:miRNA from 1 species